AAGUUGGGCCGUGGGAUGUUUGUUACAAAUGUGCAGGGGCUCCUAUGCUGCCUAUCUCUUUGAAAGAGAUUUUUUGAGAACUAAGUGACUGUUGAAAAGGUCUUUGCUAAACUCUGUAAGCAGCCAAAUUUCAGGGAGUACUUACAGUGCAAAAUAGCAUAAGGUGGAAUGAAAAUUAAUUUUUCUCUAGCAACUUGAUCCACUUUACUAAAAAGCCACAGAAGCAUUUCUUUUGAGUCCUGAUAUACCAGAAUCAACAAACCUGCAGAGCAGAAGAUGAGAAAGCAAAAAGGAGGUUACCCAUCAUGUACCACAGGCAGGUGCAUGGAGGACAUUCAGAAAAGGAAGAACAAGUUAAAAACUGGCAAUAAUGGACAGGCCAUGUAAUAUUUCCCUUUCUACUCAAUUAUUUAAAAGUAUGCUAAAAAUUCCAUGUAUGACAGAAGAAGAUGUACUCACUUUUAUGCUGCUGGAAAGAAAAAGUUUUGUGUGGAACCGGAGUGGGAGUAAAGAAAAACAAGAGCCCAUUGUGUUUUGGAGGCAAAUCAGACAAGCUCUCUUUAGCCAUGUUAUUUUUCAGACCUUGUGUGCUGGAGGAUUGGAGAAUGGUUUUCUGGGGCAUCUGCUGCAGAGAUGACUUCUACACGCACCUCAGAGUUACAAAGACAAAUAUGGGAAUAUGAUUUUUUUGUUGUUGCACUGAGAUUGUGAGCCUAAUUCCCCUCUGCUAUGCAACUUUCAUUUGAUUUUACCUGGAGAACAGGGUCAGUAACACCAGUUCUGGGAACAUUUUGUGAUGAUACAUUAAUGUAAAGCUGUUGUAAUCUAAUUCUGCUUGAUAAUAUCCUAGUGAUACAGCAGAGAUGAGAUGUGAAGAAUAAUAAGGACCAGAAACUUAAUGAAAUUUUGAAAAUAUUCAUAAGAAGAUCUGUUCAGAAAACUGAGAGCCAGUAGUGAGUUGUAAGUCACUUUUAGUCAGUGUCAAUUGAUGUAGAUUCUCAAAGACAGACGAGAUUAAAGGAGUCCUUAAUUUUUGCCCUGGUAUAUAAGAAAUUAGGCAAAUUGGCAACAUCUCUAACUUCCUAAGAAUAUCACCAAAGCAAGUAGAGAUGUGGCAUCAACAGUGUUGUCAAAGUAGCUAAGUUUUGCACGGUGUUACUUUGAGUCUUUGGUAUAUUAUGCCAAAAACCAAGACAUGUAGCAGUAAGAGUUUCUUUUUCCUUAGCCCCUGGAAACACAACUUUGCUGUGGUGUGCUUUAAGAGAUACCACCAUAGUGUUUCUACUGUAAAUUGUCUUUUAACAUUCUGAUUAGAGACAAAACAAUGACGUUCCCUAGCUAAUAUUUGUACCUAUUUCUCGUGUUAUAAAAAUGCCAAACCGGAGUGAGAUCUGAGGGAACACGAAAGCUGGACUUUUCUGUGAGCAGUAAAGCAAACUGUAGAAUACUGAAGUUAGAAGUGCUGUGAACACAAGGCUACCAAGAAGAAAAGAAUCCUCAUUUGAAGCCAGUGGCAGCAAAACUCCCCCUGUGUUAGAGUGAUACCCUGUUCCUGUGCCAGUUUCAUUGACUUCUGUACAUUAACAUGAAUUAAAAUGAAUUAACACUGCCUCAGGUCUUCAGUUUCCUUUACAGAUGGAAAUAGGAGAGCCCUUUUGAUGGAUCUCCUGUAUUCAGUUAGGCUGAAGCCAAAGUGGAUCAACAAGAGACAUGGAAGAGAGAAGCAAACAGGAGGAAAAUGUGGAUGCUCUGGAGAUGAUGAGCAUUCAGUUGAAAAUAAAAGCCAAACUUGGACUUCAUUAUGCAGCUGAUAUUUGUUAAUAUAGAAUAAGUGAAGCUGUAGAGCAUGAACAAAUUGCCUUUAGGAGAAAGUGAAUGUUAAGA